GGAGUCGCCCCCUGCUGGUCACUACAGAGAAGUAGAGUCAUUUCCUCAUAGACGUCUAUGGGAGCAGAGGAGUCGCCCCCUGCUGGUCACUACAGAGAAGUAGAGUCAUUUCCUCAUAGACGUCUAUGGGAGCAGAGGAGUCGCCCCCUGCUGGUCGGAAGGAAGAACACAAGUUCAGCUCGUCAGGUGGAAGUCAAUUAACUCCCAACUGCAAUUACAUGACAUUCCAUUAACUGCAGGUGAAUGUUUCCUGUUUAAUAACGCUGCCCUCAUCAGAACAAGUUGAGCAAAAAACUUUUAGAAGAAGCGUGACCUCUCCGGCCCAGAGGGGGGUUUUAAUUAUGAGGAAAGAAAUCUGGUAAUAUGGAGGGAUAUAACAUCUGACACCGUAAUUAAUCUUAUGAUUGUGCCGAUAAACCAAAAUAACCCCCCACCUCUGACCCGACUCCAGUCCUUCACAAGCCGUGACCUCAUCACAUUACACAUGCAUCAUUCUGGUCACCUUUUUGGACACCUGCACGAUCUUCACUCGGAAACGAAGGAGCCCUGGCGGCGGCUUUGCUGUUGUUGCAGCUGCGCUCUCUCCCCCGGUAGCUGGCCGCUCAAACCAUUUUACAUUUAAAUUUGUUGGAUAAUAAAUUAUUCAGCAAUAUAAUUCCGAAGAAAUAUUUCUGAGAAAAAGCAACCCACCUGCGUAGCCAACGGUGUCUUUUUCCCUCCCUGUCUGGCAUUAAAUUACACCCACAACAACAUUCUCAUUAAUCUUCAUGCGUUCCAAAGGGCCUCGGGGAGCAUUACUCACUUUUAAAAAUAGAUUCCGGUUCCAUGACAAUGAUCAGACAAUCGUGGGAGUCCGUGAGUUUAUUUCUGGGGACUUUUCCUCUGUGGGAUUCUGGCAGGCAGAAGUUUGCUCAGAUCACGAUGUCUGUUGCCUUUUAUGUGCCGAGUGGAUGUCGGCAAAGAGCUUCAGAGAAAUCUGAAAUUGCGUAUUGAAUUGAGGAAGCAAACCCUCAAAGGCGGAACCCUGGCAGAGCGCCCUCUCAUGCUGCCAACACCCCGACAAUGGUAAUUGCUUGUCAUAUUUAGGGAAAUUAUGGAGGAAACACCGAUGCCACACUGAAAUCAAUUUUUUGUUUUAAAUUCAAAGCCCAUUUGAUUCAUUGUAUUAUUACGCGGUCCUGGCAGGGAGCACCGCCUCCACGGCUCACUGACUCACUGCCUUUAACGUCGGAUCCCGUUGUUUCAUCCUCUCCGUCUGAGUAUCCGACAUUGGUUCUUCUGGCAGAGACAGCGCUUCGUAAUACGGAGAGCGACGUAGCAUCUAAAGGAGUCCGGGGCUCUGGGCCUCGCCACAUGUAGGAUGUGUAAUAUGUGACGGCAUCAUUCCGUGAAGAGAUCUUCUCAUACACAUUGUCAUUACAUUAUGAUAAUGAAAAGGUACCGUUGUCCGUAAAACACGAGAGACUUGAGAACCCUAAAAACACUGUGAGGUACGCGGCGUGUUUUAGGGUUUACUGUCGUAGAAACGUGACCUGACAGUUCAGAAUAUUUCCACUUCCCUGUGGGAAUGCAGACACACCUCGUCCUCUGCAAAAAUCACAACAACUGUGUGCGUGUGUGUGUGUGUGUGUGUGUGUGUGUGUGUGUGUGUGUGUGUGGAAGAAAAGCGGCAGGGAAAGAAAGAACUGAGCGCAGAGGCGAAUAAUCUGAAUUCAAAAGCAAUCAUUUGUUCUCAGCUCAUGAAGCCGUCUUGGGUGGAAGGGUGGAGGUAAAGAAUGGAGGUAAAGGGUGGAGGUUAAAGAUGGAGGUAAAGGGUGGAGGUUAAAGAUGGAGGUAAAGGGUGGAGUUUAAAGAUGGAGAUAACGGGUAGAGGUUAAAGAUGGAGGUAACGGGUGGAUCUGAGGGUCUCACAGGGUCAUCUGCUCCCAUGUGGACCUCCAGUUGUUACGUGAAGAAUAAACUGCGUUACAAUCACAGUAAUUAGCUGUGAUUUAACCACCCCGUUGACGUAGAAAAAGACACCACCUUCAGAUGGAAAAGUGGGUCCACACUUUGUGUGAAUAAUCGACCUGUGCAUCCGAUUCAGAAAGUCAUUUAUGCGCCUGUGAUCAUCACGCGGAUCAAAACAAAGUUCUCAUUCUGUAAGCUCCUCUAUAAAAAGGAGGGUUGGUUUUUGGCGCCGGCCGUUUCAUUUUUACAAUUUUGAUGAAGUUGUCGAUGAACUUAGCGCUCUGCAGCCUUUAUCGCUCUGCGGCUUCAUGAAAUGACGUUUCAAAGAUUUUUACGACUCAACUGAGAUCGUGAAUUACACCUCGGUGAGCGUUGGUUCUUCUGCACGUUCUAAUUACGCUACGAGACGAGAGACAAAGUUCUCAUUUAGACCCGCGAGUGUUAUGAUGGUUUCUGGGGUUUCUUUUGAUUUACGUCGCUUCUGCAAGUGAGAACUCCACGACUGAAGUAAAGUAAAUGUCAGUGUUUUUCUCAACCUUCACUGCAGGUGGAGGGCAGAACUUCCACAUGCAUAAUACAGCAUCCGCCUCAAACACCAUCACUUCUAGGACUCUGUGACGGUGUUUCUCCCCUUAAAGCGGCUGCACACCGAGUCAAAAUGAUCGAGUGCCAUCUUGCUUUUCGGGCAGUAGUUUAGUCAACGUCCUUUCCCGGUGUUGCGCAACACCCACUGGCGUCCAUGUUGCCGUUGCUUCAGUCGUCUUCUCGCGACUCAACCACUUAAAGAUCGAGCAUGUCGUGUUUUCCAGAUUGUGCUCUGUUUGCAAAUUAAAUCUGGGACCAAUCGUUCUUAUUUUCCAGUAAGAUGUUGUUACACAAUAUAAUAUUAUUUGGUAUUGAUUUGAGCUUCGUCCCCUUUUCUUCCUUCCAGCUCCUCAGUCGUUCGAGCUCAUUAAAGUCGCUCUCUUGUCAACUUCGUCCCCUCUAAUUCUCACCCAAUUACAACCCAAAUGAACCAGAGGACUGUUUAACCGGCUCUGCCUCUUCCCGUAGCUGAAUGUGUGACGGUAACGAACCCUGAGGUUCAGAAACGAAUCGCUCAGUGCCGAAUUAGUCCCCCUUCUACAUGGGUAACAUUCAAUGAUUCCACGUGGACCCCCCAGCGAUAACGUGAUCGCUGACAGCGGAUGGACCCGAUGGUGGCACCCAGCCGGGGAUGGAGAGGAUUCUGCCUGAGCCGACUUCUACACCUUCACGCGCAGCGUUCUAUAACUGGGUCGGUUUGAUUAAUGUCAUUGUCUCAGCCUGAGGAGCAAAGGCGCUAUAAAAGAGCUGGGCGAUUAUGAGGGAGGGGGAGAUAUGGACCAAACCGCCAGGAGAAAAAGCAAAGGGUGAACUAGAGCGAAGGAGCGGUUGGAAUGUGAGAGGAGCAGCAGGAAGCAACAGACAGAAGAUAAUUAGCCUCCAGAGGGAAGGAAAGCUCACGUAUUACAGCGGCCGUCCUCGACUCAUGCAGGGAGACACGUCACGGGGGGGGG
ensembl:lncRNA